AGCUUGCUUCUAUCAAUCUUAGUGGCGAACGGGUGAGUAACGCGUAAUCAACCUGCCCUUCAGAGGGGGACAACAGUUGGAAACGACUGCUAAUACCGCAUACAAUCUAACCUCGGCAUCGAGGAUAGAUGAAAGGUGGCCCCUAUUUAUAAGCUAUCACUGAAGGAGGGGAUUGCGUCUGAUUAGCUAGUUGGAGGGGUAACGGCCCACCAAGGCGAUGAUCAGUAGCCGGUCUGAGAGGAUGAACGGCCACAUUGGGACUGAGACACGGCCCAGACUCCUACGGGAGGCAGCAGUGGGGAAUCUUCCGCAAUGGACGAAAGUCUGACGGAGCAACGCCGCGUGAGCGAUGACGGCCUUCGGGUUGUAAAGCUCUGUUAAUCGGGACGAAAGGCCUUCUUGCGAAUAGUUAGAAGGAUUGACGGUACCGGAAUAGAGAGCCACGGCUAACUACGUGCCAGCAGCCGCGGUAAUACGUAGGUGGCAAGCGUUGUCCGGAAUUAUUGGGCGUAAAGCGCGCGCAGGGCGGAUUGGUCAGUCUGUCUUUAAAAGUUCGGGGCUUAACCCCGUGAUGGGAUGGAAACUGCCAAUCUAGAGUAUCGGAGAGGAAAGUGGAAUUCCUAGUGUAGCGGUAAAAUGCGUAGAUAUUAGGAAGAACCCCAGUGGCGAAGGCGACUUUCUGGACGAAAACACACGAUGAGGCGCGAAAGCCAGGGGAGCGAACGAGAUUAGAUACCCCGGUAGU
rnacentral:rRNA from 1 species